UCGAAUCACUCAGAGAAACAACAAAAAUUCAUAAAUUUUAAAUUUUAAAUUUGUGAAGGUGCUCCCUCCAUGUCACCACCUCAUCUCUCUCUAGCUUCAAAAAAUUAAAGUAGGAGAAUCACUUCACUCCAACCUAUAAAGAAAAACCAAUCACCCAUAGUCCAAGUGGUAAAUCUAAUACUCUCUACUUUUGCUUCUCUCCUUUUGUCUAAUUCCUUCAUAAAUUUCUCACUUUCUAUGUCUUUCUCUUCUAAGGUAAAAAUAAAAUAAAAUAAAUCUAUAGUAAAAACUCUAUACUUUUGUGUUCCCUUUUUCUUCUUCUUACCCUAAUAGAAAUUUUAAAAAUAUAUACAUAUGGAUAGUAGUAGUGAUAGAAUUAGGUUGUACAAGAGGUUAUGGGGUUCAAUUGUAUUAUUAUUAGUUGUUUGGUUAUUGUUGGUUAGUGUCUUGGAGAAUAGAGCAACAAAGAUAAUGAAGAAGCAAAGGACAAAUAGUAUUCAUUCAAAGAUGAAUCUCAACUUCAUGAGUAUUAAAAGAAGAGUUCCUAAUGGCCCAGACCCUAUCCAUAACAGAAGAGUGGGAAAUUCUCAUCAACCACAUGGUCAAGUUACAAAAGGAGAAUUUGGCAAGCCAUGAAUAAAUAAAUUAAUUUAAUUAAAUUUCCUAUCUUGUAUAUGUAAUUUAUUGAAAAUGGGUUUGUCAAUAUAUAUUGUGAGAGAUGAAAUUUCAUAUUAAACCCCAGCUUAAUUUAAUUUGUUAGUUAUUUUUACUACAAAAGUUGUUUAGAAUCUUAAGAGGUGGAAUGAAAAGAUAUUAAUAAUGAA